CAAGUCGAACGAGAAAGUGGAGCAAUCCAUGAGUAAAGUGGCGCACGGGUGAGUAACACGUGACUAACCUACCCUUGAGUGGGGGAUAACCUCGGGAAACCGGGGCUAAUACCGCAUAAUACCUACGGGUCAAAGGAGCAAUUCGCUUAAGGAGGGGGUCGCGGCAGAUUAGUUAGUUGGCGGGGUAAUGGCCCACCAAGACGGUGAUCUGUAUCCGGCCUGAGAGGGCGCACGGACACACUGGAACUGAAACACGGUCCAGACUCCUACGGGAGGCAGCAGUGGGGAAUUUUGCGCAAUGGGGGAAACCCUGACGCAGCAACGCCGCGUGGAGGAUGAAGUCCCUUGGGACGUAAACUCCUUUCGAUCGGGACGAUUAUGACGGUACCGGAAGAAGAAGCCCCGGCUAACUUCGUGCCAGCAGCCGCGGUAAUACGAGGGGGGCGAGCGUUGUUCGGAAUUAUUGGGCGUAAAGGGCGCGUAGGCGGUCGGAUAAGUCUUGUGUGAAAUCUUCGGGCUCAACUCGAAGUCUGCACAGGAAACUAUCUGGCUUGAGUGUGGGAGAGGUGAGUGGAAUUCCUGGUGUAGCGGUGAAAUGCGUAGAUAUCAGGAGGAACACCUGUGGCGAAAGCGGCUCACUGGACCACAACUGACGCUGAGGCGCGAAAGCUAGGGGAGCAAACAGGAUUAGAUACCCUGGUAGUCCUAGCCCUAAACGAUGAUCGCUUGGUGUGACGGGUACCCAAUCCCGCCGUGCCGAAGCUAACGCGUUAAGCGAUCCGCCUGGGGAGUACGGUCGCAAGGCUGAAACUCAAAGGAAUUGACGGGGGCCCGCACAAGCGGUGGA
rnacentral:rRNA from 1 species